rnacentral:lncRNA from 1 species
AAUUCUGUCUGGACACAAAGGAAAAAUCGGAAUUGGCAGAUACUCUCUCGGUUACUCCCUGGUUGCAGUUAAUGAGCAGCCUGUUCGCCUGCAGCCUUUAGACAGGGAACAAGGGGCACAGCUUUUCCCACUUUAUUGGUUACUGACUGGGAAAGAAGGAUUCCACUAGCACUGCUUGGCUAUCAAAGCUGGGCAAUGUGAUCCUCUAAGCCACAUGUUUAGGAAUUGACAAACAAUUGUGGAGGUUGGCAAUUCCAAAAUCUGAGGAGUAGGUAAACUGGAAGACUAGAGACCCUGGGAAGAGUUGAUGUUACAGCUUGAAUCUGAAGGCAGUCUGCUGGAAGAAUCCCCUCUUUCUUGUAGAAGCCCCUUGACUGGGCAAACUUCAAACAAGUGACUGAGCUCCCUUAGCUGCCACUGAUUGGACCAGGAUGGACAACAAAUGUAGGAGGAGUUCAUCUGGAUCUAGCCUGAGCCAGUCAGAUAUCCCCUUUGAAUCCAUGCCUAUAGAAAUACAAAAAAAUGGAAGCCAGAGGAUGAUGGAUCCUUGAAGUAAUAAGUCAGCUCUGUGGAAGUUUGAGUGACUCAUUGCAGAGAGGAAUUGAUGAAGUCAACAGCUGCUGGAAAAACUUCUUUUUCCUUAAUAGCUGUAUCAACAUGUGGUUGCUAUUAUUCAAAGUGGAUGAAAUAAUUCUGCAAGCCAGUGGGAACAGGAAGCUUCAUGAAGAGGAGAAAGGCUUAGGGCUCAGAAACCGCACAGAGCAGGAGGAUAGAUGAAUGUAAGGAACAGAGCUUUGAGGACAGACACCCCUGGAUUAGACAAUAGCUCCAAAACUUAUUAAUGAUGGUGAAUGGGUGACUUUCUAAAACCCUUUAAACCUUAUUUGUAAAAUGGGACCAUCAAUAUCUAUUUUGAAAUCUUGUAUAAAUUUGCAAUAAUGUCUGUAAAGUAUCUGACAGGAGCUCAGAAAUGACACAAUUCUUUAAAUCCACUCACACCCAACUUUUAAACAAAAAGUAGCAGUAUAUCCUACACACGAUUUUUAAAUUUUACUAUUUAAGUUAACAUCAUGCUAUGAACAUAUUUCCAUGUCAUUAAAUAUUCUAUUCCAUCCAAUAUUUAAAAGCUAAUAGAAGUCUGUUAAAUGCAUAUGCCAUAAUUUAUUUAACCAAUUCGGUUGUUUUAAUAUUUAUGUUGUUUCCAAUAUAUUAUGCUAUUGACAAUAAAAUGAUGAACAUUUAUGAUGAUGAA